GUGCUCACUUUGGUGGCACAUAUACUAAAAUUGGAAUGAUGCAGAGUUAGCAUGGCCCCUGCACAAGGAUGACAUGCAAAUUUGUGAAGCAUUCUACAUUUAA